GACGAACGCUGGCGGCGUGCUUAACACAUGCAAGUCGAACGGUGAAGGGGUCUGCUUUUGUGGGCCCUGGAUGAGUGGCGAACGGGUGAGUAACACGUGAGUAACCUGCCCCCUUCUUCUGGAUAACCGCAUGAAAGUGUGGCUAAUACGGGAUAUUCUGGGUCUGUCGCAUGAUGGGUCUGGGAAAGAUUGCGCCUUUGGGUGUUUUUGGUGGGGGAUGGGCUCGCGGCCUAUCAGCUUGUUGGUGGGGUGAUGGCCUACCAAGGCGGUGACGGGUAGCCGGCCUGAGAGGGUGGACGGUCACACUGGGACUGAGACACGGCCCAGACUCCUACGGGAGGCAGCAGUGGGGAAUAUUGCACAAUGGGCGCAGGCCUGAUGCAGCGACGCCGCGUGAGGGAUGGAGGCCUUCGGGUUGUAAACCUCUUUCGCCAGUGAAGCAGGCCUGCUCCUUGUGGGUGGGUUGACGGUAGCUGGAUAAGAAGCGCCGGCUAACUACGU
rnacentral:rRNA from 1 species